GACGUAGGGUGCAAGCGUUGUCCGGAUUUACUGGGCGUAAAGAGCGCGUAGGCGGUCUGUUAAGUGUAGAGUGAAAUCUCUGGGCUCACCCCGGAAACUGCUCUGCAUACUGGCAGACUUGAGGGAAGCAGAGGUUUGUGGAAUUCCUGGUGUAGCGGUGAAAUGCGUUGAUAUCAGGAGGAACACCCUGGGCGAAGGCAGCAAACUGGGCUUCAUCUGACGCUGGAUGACGCGAAAGCGUGGGUAGCAAACAGG
rnacentral:rRNA from 1 species